rnacentral:rRNA from 1 species
UACGAAGGGGGCUAGCGUUGUUCGGAUUUACUGGGCGUAAAGCGCACGUAGGCGGAUUGUUAAGUCAGGGGUGAAAUCCCGGAGCUCAACUCCGGAACUGCCUUUGAUACUGGCAAUCUUGAGGCUGGAAGAGGUUAGUGGAAUUCCCAGUGUAGAGGUGAAAUUCGUAGAUAUCUGGAGGAACACCGGUGGCGAAGGCAGCCUCCUGGGCCAGCACUGACGCUCAUGCACGAAAGCGUGGGGAGCAAACAGG